CGGUUUCAUUAAAAGAAAUCAAUGUCGUACAUAAGUUAGAAUUUAACACAACAAGACUUAGAAAGACUACACCCCACUCAACGAAUGAGAUACAGCUUUCGAUGCACCAACAUUCUGUGAGAACAAACUGGAAGAAAUGACUACAACUUCCAGCAACGCCACAUAAUGCACCAAUUCUUCAGCAAAUCAUUCUGGAGAUCGACAGACUUGUUCAGAGC
rnacentral:lncRNA from 1 species